AGCGCGCAUAUUGGGGACAGCAGCAGCAGCAGCAGCAGCAGCAGCAGCAGCAGCGGAUGAAUCCAGAUGAGAAGCUUUCUGUGGGGAUGCAUGUGUUUAAUCCUGUCCUCACGUCAGGUCGUCCAACCACCUCGUAGAUUAUAACCCGGGUGGAGGAUCACUUUCUACGCUGCUGCGACCAAAUGGAGAGCGGCGGCGGCGGCGGUGGCACGCACGCACAGCACGCACAGCACGCACCCGGUCCUUCAGACAGAGGAGUCGUCCUCACUGCAACUUGUUGUGAAGCAGCUGCAGGAACAACAGAGGAGAGGACUCCUCCAACAUGCUGCCUUUGCCUCGGUCCCCUCUCAGUCGGACGCGUAAAAGGGGGAGACUUGCAGGUGACAGGCACCGAGCGCAUGGUGCGUCCAGACGAUCAGUGGUGAGAAAACAGAAGCCCUGAAACAACCACUAGAUGUGGAUCAAGAAGGAAGAGUCGCCAGAUUUCGGUUGCCCGACCGGACAUUUGCCAUCUUUGUGGUGGAAUACUGGCAGAGAGAUGGGCUUUCGACUCCAGCCACAGGCACAAAUAAUUUAGCCAACAAGUGAAUUCACAGACAGACAGACUGGCGAUCGCUGCAGCAACAGGGAGCAGCAGAAUUUCACUCGCGGGGAUUUGCAGACGGAGGUUACCUGUCAUGCUGCUUAAUACUGUGAUGGAGCGAGGAGGCGACAGGCCAGCGUUUCACCCCCCCACUCCCUCUCUGUCCUCGCUGUGUGGAACAGAGCAGGUGAGAAACAUUAACAGAGGCAGCAGCAGCAGCUGUGGCCCUCUGCUCCACACAUGUGGGCCAGGAUAUGAGCUAGCUCGAGCUCGCCCACUCUCAAACAUCGGUCAUUACUGUUAACACUCUCCUCUCUGAAGCAAAGAGUAUGUAGGAGAAAAAAAAAGCUGAAACGAGGUGGAAUCAGCACAAACUGUAGCAUGGAAAAAAAAGUAGUUUGAUUUCCAUGCACUUUAUCAUACAGUAUGCUGUGAACAGUUAUCAUUAGCAUUAGUGCAGGGGUUCGAAAACAUUUUGACUUGUGACCCCUUAAAACCAAAUUCUUCCUACACAAACCCUCAUGUCACAGGUUGCAGAGAGUUGUACGUUUUGUUUUAAGCAUCUCAACCAUAGAGAUAUUCUAUCAGUUUCUUUAAUUUGAAACAUUUUUGGAAGCCUGGAGAUGUAGCUUAAAACUUUCACAACCAGAAAGGCACUCAGUAGAGCUCAUAACUCCUCCAAGGCCAAACAGCCCCCUUAUGAAAACACAUUUAAAUUCACUAGAUCCGUAUUUUCAUUUGGAUCUGCACAAAAUAUCAGUCUCCUAAAUAUGUCCGUUUCUUUUAAAUCAAUAUCCAUUAAUUAUUCUCUGAGAAAUAAAGGACAAAUAUGAAAAACACCCUCUUUCAGAAUGUUAAAAAAGAGUGAAAAUCGAAUCUGGAUCCACACCUAAAUUUAAUUUGAAAUCUCCACAACAUUUCAUUGAAAUCUGUUGAGCAGUUUUUGCAUAAUCCUGCUAACUAACAAAAGAAUGCCAAGGAAAAUAUUAAAGUUAUAAAAGUACUUCUCAAUAACAGUAUCUUCCAGCUUUCUUCAUGAGUUGACUGAAUGUCGAUUGCUGUUUGGUCUGGAGUUUUCUCGAAUGGACACUAUUUAAUGAAUAGAACGUUGCAUUUUAAAGCUUUUGAGGUUGAACUAGUUUCUAUAAAAUCCUCAUUAUCCCAGUGCCCUUUAAAUGACAUUCUGGUUGCAUUUGAAUAUGAAAACAUCUUGGUUAUAACAUUUGUUUACUGCAAAUGCACCUAUGCUGGAUCAUUUGAAUUCCCCCUCAGCUGGAGCCGUGAACCGGAUGACCCAGUCGUCACAUUGUGUUCCGAGCACAAAGACGCCAGUCACAUGGGGUGAGCUGUCCCAGAGGAGAGUGGCGUGUGUGUGUGUGUGUGUGUGUCUGUGUAUUUGUGUUUCUGUGAAUCAUAACCGCUGUUUUGUAUUCAGCGAGGUGUGUCGACGCGGCGUCACCUGCGAGAACAGGGGUCCUGAAGGGACUCUUGUUUUUAAAGACUGUCCUUUGGGGUGAGGUAGUAGGUUGUAUAGUUUUAGGGUCGUACCCUUCCUGUCAGAUAACUAUACAACUUACUGUCUUUCCUGAAGUGGCUGUAAUGUCAUCAGACGCCAGUGUUGAAGCUGUCGGAUCGGGAUCAACUCGAUGGAAUGUGCGGUAAACGCUGCUCACUGCUUAGAACAUAACAACAUUUAAUAAUGGCAGGUCGCGUGGGCUUGUAGUUAAUGUUUCUCUCUCGUGAUUUUCAGAUUCUGUACUUCUAAGGCUCCUUGUGAAUAAAAAAAAUGAUUCUCAAAGUGUAGUCUUGCUGGUUCUGUUUAUGCUACACAAACAACAGUAAUCAACACAUGAUUUAAAAAUGAUUAAAAACUGAAAGUUGUGCAAACUUUUACAAAACCCUGUUCUCAUCUGACUGUCACCCCUUGUCCUUUUUUCAUGUUUCUGUCUAUUCAACAGUUUAUUGUCCAUCUUUAAUCAUCAGUCUUCAAAGUUGUGUUCUCAUAUUUUGUAUUGCUAGUGUUUUAGAAAUAAAAAAGUGAGGUUUUAUUUUCAAAAUGUAUUUAAUAUUAUAAAAUGAUGUCUCUUUUAUGUCGCUCCACCGUUAUGCUCUCCAGUGUUAAGGUAAAGCAAAGCUCGCCGCCCUGUAGGAUCACUCUGAUGUUCGUACGGGGUGAGGUAGUAGGUUGUGUGGUUUCAGGGUAGUGAUUUUGCCCAAUCAGAAGAUAACUAUACAACCUACUGCCUUCCCUGAAGGGCAGCAAUACGUCACCAAACAGACAACAGGGGGCGUCACGUGCACAGUCUCACAAGAAAUAAAAACUCCCAAGAUGAGUGAAGCAAACCAGGUCAAACGUCCAGGUCAGGAGCUUUUACCUGGACCAACCACAGCAGCAGAGUGGACGGCAGGUAAAGACUGUUCAUGUGUGGAAGUUGUAGUUUUUGAUUUUCUGCUUCAAACAAUAAUAAAAGCUAAGAAAUAA